GGGUGAGUAAUGCCUAGGAAACUGCCUGGAUUGGGGGACAACGUUCGAAAGGAACGCUAAUACCGCAUACGUCCUACGGGAGAAAGCAGGGGACCUUCGGGCCUUGCGCUAUCAGAUGAGCCUAGGUCGGAUUAGCUAGUUGGUGAGGUAAUGGCUCACCAAGGCGACGAUCCGUAACUGGUCUGAGAGGAUGAUCAGUCACACUGGAACUGAGACACGGUCCAGACUCCUACGGGAGGCAGCAGUGGGGAAUAUUGGACAAUGGGCGAAAGCCUKAUCCAGCCAUGCCGCGUGUGUGAAGAAGGUCUUCGGAUUGUAAAGCACUUUAAGUUGGGAGGAAGGGCAGUAAGUUAAUACCUUGCUNUUUUGACGUUACCGACAGAAUAAGCACCGGCDAACUUCG
rnacentral:rRNA from 1 species